rnacentral:misc_RNA from 1 species
AAAUGCGAUAAGUAAUGUGAAUUGCAGAAUUCAGUGAAUCAUCGAAUCUUUGAACGCACCUUGCGCUCCUUGGUAUUCCUUGGAGCAUGCCUGUUUGAGUAUCAUGAAAUCUUCAAAGUAAAUCUUUUGUUAACUCAAUUGGUUUCUACUUUGGUAUUGGAGGUCUUUGCAGCUUCACACCUGCUCCUCUUUGUUCAUUAGCUGGAUCUCAGUGUUAUGCUUGGUUCCACUCGGCGUGAUAAGUUAUCUAUCGCUGAGGACACUGUAAAAGGUGGCCAAGGUAAAUGCAGAUGAACCGCUUCUAAUAGUCCAUUGACUUGGACAAUACUCUUAUGAUCUGAUCUCAAAUCAGGUAGGACUACCCGCUGAACUUAAGC